GCAGUCGAGGGGCAGCAUUACUUUUCGGAGUAGAUGGCGACCGGCGCACGGGCUGCGUAACGCGUAUGCAACCUACCCUUAACUGUAGGAUAGCCCGGAGAAAUCCGGAUUAAUACUACAUGGUACUAUAGUAUGGCAUCAUAUAAUAGUUAAAGAUUUAUUGGUUUAGGAUGGGCAUGCGUGACAUUAGCUAGUUGGUACGGUAACGGCGUACCAAGGCUACGAUGUCUAGGGGUUCUGAGAGGAAGAUCCCCCACACUGGUACUGAGACACGGACCAGACUCCUACGGGAGGCAGCAGUGAGGAAUAUUGGUCAAUGGGCGAGAGCCUGAACCAGCCAUGCCGCGUGCAGGAAGACGGCCUUCUGGGUUGUAAACUGCUUUUAUACGGGAGCAAAAAGGUCCUGCGGGACAAAUUGAGAGUAUCGUAUGAAUAAGCACCGGCUAACUCCGUGCCAGCAGCCACGGGUAAUACGGAGGGUGCAAGCGUUGUCCGGAUUU
rnacentral:rRNA from 1 species